CAGUCAGGGCCUGCCCUCGGGGGGGCCGCCUCGGCUAGGCCUCUCCUCCUCACCGCUCCGCUUCCCGCCGCCGCUUCCCGCCCAUGGCCGCCGCCACCGCCGCCCUCCGCCCCUUUGUUUUGCUCCCGCCUUCCUCGCCUUCCGCCCAGGGCCGUCGAGCGCGACCGAGGCCGCUGUCGUAAAACGCGUGUCGCGAAAGGACAGCCACCCCGGGGCAGGCUUGCGGCCUAGGCGCCGAUUUCUCGCCCUGGGCAGCUUUAGGCGGGCUCGGCUGGGUCUGUGCAAAGGAGGGGGGGAGAUGCCCUCUUCGCGGGGACUGGGCGCUCAGGAAGGUUUUUGGGAAUGCACACGGGAAAAGGGCGGCUGUGGGUUCAGGGAACGUAAAGCUGGAGCGGGAGGGCAGUAGCGCUGGAAUAGGGAUGCCAGCCUGCAGCUGACAUCUGGGCAUCCCCAGGAAUGGCAGCUCAUCUCCAGGUCCCCAUCAUGUACGUGACUGUUGGAGGCAACCAGGUUUGACUCAUGGAGCUACACCCUCCACUUUAAUGCUAGAAACGAAGUUUGAACAGUCUGCAGUUUGAACACAAAGGACUCAUGAAACAUCACAAAAGGGUGCCGGACUUGUGACCAACCGCACCCAGGAAGAACACCUUUAGCAGUGGCUAACACCUUUUGUUUCCUGAUGGGAUCAAACCGAUGAGAUCACCCACAGCAGAGAAGACCCCGGCUCCACCUCUGGAUCUGCCUCCCACCAAUGAGAAAAGUGGACUUUUUAUUAUUUACCCUCCUCCUGUAUGUUUGAAUUUCUCCUCUAUAAAUUGUGCUGCGUGUGCCUUGUUUGGCGCAUUCGUUUCUAGUAAAGUGUUCCUGCUUCAA